rnacentral:rRNA from 1 species
UACGUAGGUGGCAAGCGUUGUCCGGAUUUACUGGGCGUAAAGGGCGUGCAGGCGGUUUGUUAAGUCUAGGGUGAAAGCUCCCGGCUCAACUGGGAGAGGUCCUUGGAUACUGGCAGACUUGAGGAGAGUAGAGGAGAGUGGAAUUCCCGGUGUAGUGGUGAUAUGCGUAGAUAUCGGGAGGAACACCAGUGGCGAAGGCGGCUCUCUGGGCUCUACCUGACGCUGAGACGCGAAAGCGUGGGGAGCGAACAGG